AGAGAGCUCAGAUGUACUGACGGAGCUGGCACAGAGUUCCCUUGGGACUCCAGAUUUGACUGUCUUGUUGAAAGGCUCCAGAGCCUGCUUGGGAAGCCGCUUGACAAGGCACAGAUUUGCCGUGAUUUUUAUACCGGAAUUCCGACGGUAACGCCAAUGCCACGUGUUAGCCUUUCUCCAGCAGCUAUUAAAAGCAGAAUGAGCGUUAAGAAUCUGAUUACCUUUUAACGAAAUUCAAAACAAAGCUGCGGGGUGAAGCGACUGGAAGCGUCCUGCCAGUCUGACGUGGGUAUCGCUGCCGUGCAUGUUAUCUGCCUGUCUACUGAUCGCUCCUGCCUCUUGUUCUGCCGCGGUAAUUCCUCUGGGGCCUCGGCUGUUGCGUGCAGAGAAGCUGUCAGCCUUGUGAGAGAGCAUGCAGCCGGCAAGCGCAUCGUGGUGCUUCGGUACCGAGCUGAUACCACAGGCAUCCGUCUUUUGUUUGCGAAAAGGGAUCGCGAGGAAAUGUGCUGACGUUGGAGGGGGAAAGGUGGCGGGGGAACAGGGGGCGUUCCCACAAGGAAGUGGUGUGGAGCCGAAGGGGACUGCGAUUGACGGUGAUGGAGCCAUUUGGACCGAGUCUUGAAGAUCUCUUCGGUUUUUGUUCGAGGAAACUUCGUCUCGAGACAGUCCUAUUGCUCGCUGGCAAUGACUAGUUGAAUCGAAAAUGUUCGCUGUAAGAACUUCAUCCACCGAGAUGUGAAGCCAGGCAACUUCCUAACGGGCCGUGGGCAGAGUUCCCUUAUUGAUGCCAUGCCUAUAAUAAACUGUGCGGUCCGUUAGCUAGACGGGCUGCAAUACCCAAUUUUUUUCGCCAGGCGGCAGCACCGCCCCAGGCGGAGUAAGGGCAGCGCAUGCGCAGACGCGGCUUGACGCCAAAGGG